CAGGCGCAGCUGCGUCCUCUGGCUCCGGGCCCGGCUAGCUUCGCUCCAGAGAUUGCGCGGGCUCAGGGACUGGGCCCGUGGCCACACCCCCCUUGCGACAAAGACCAAUGGAAGCGGGCGUUGCUGGUCGCUAAGGGAAACCGCCGGCGGCAAGAUGGCGGCGGCUAGCAAGGGCACCCCGAGCUCCCGCGGGCCGCGCCGGGACCCGCCGAGGCGGCCGCCCCGGGACGGUCACGGGAAGUUGUUAUUUCAAGAUGGCAGUUACUACGAAGGGGCGUUUGUGGAUGGAGAAAUCAUGGGAGAAGGCCGCCGGCACUGGGCCUGGUCAGGAGACACCUUCUCUGGACAGUUUGUUCUGGGAGAGCCUCAAGGCUACGGCGUCAUGGAGUACAAAGCCGGCGGAUGUUACGAAGGGGAGGUCUCCCACGGCAUGCGGGAAGGACACGGGUUUCUGGUGGACCGGGAUGGACAAGUGUACCAGGGCUCCUUCCAUGACAACAAGAGGCACGGCCCUGGGCAGAUGCUCUUUAAGAACGGUGACAAGUACGACGGCGACUGGGUCCGGGACCAGCGUCAGGGACACGGGGUGCUGCGCUGCGUCAACGGCACCACCUACGAGGGACAGUGGCACAGCGACGUCUUCAGUGGACUGGGCAGCAUGGCCCACUGCUCAGGGGUCACCUAUUAUGGGUUGUGGAUCAACGGCCACCCAGCAGAACAAGCUACGAGGAUCGUGAUCUUGGGUCCGGAGGUGAUGGAAGUGGCCCAAGGGUCUCCCUUCUCGGUGAACGUUCAGCUGCUGCAGGACCACGGGGAAAUUGCCAAGAGCGAGAGCGGCCGGGUCCUGCAGAUCUCAGCGGGCGUCAGAUACGUGCAGCUGUCAGCCUACUCCGAGGUCAGCUUUUUCAAAGUGGACAGAGACAACCAAGAGACACUCAUCCAGACUCCAUUUGGGUUCGAAUGCAUCCCUUAUCCUGUGUCCAGCCCCGCCGCUGGGGUGCUGGGCCCCAGAGCUGCUAAGGGAGGUGCAGAAGCCGACGUGCCCCUGCCCAGGGGAGACCUGGAGCUGCAUUUGGGUGCCCUCCAUGGCCAGGAGGACACCCCUGGUGGCCUGCUUGCCAGGGGACAUGCACCCCAUUGUCCCGGGGCCUGUCGGCGAGUGGAGCAGGGCUGUGCCGAGUUCACAGAUGUCCUCCUGGGGCCGCCCCCACCCGGGUACCACCCCUUCCUGUUCCUGGACAGCCUCCACAAGAAGGCAGGCAGCAGAUCCAGAGGCGGCCUGCACCCCAGGGGGACACCACCCACCACACAGGAGCCGCCUGGAGGCAGCAGGAUCCCAACAGGAGCUAACAAAGGGUUCUCCUGGUUGUUCCAAAUCUCGAGGCACAGACGAGAUUCUGCAGUGUGGACAACAGAAGACCAAGUGAGACGGGAGUGUGACCCCUUCCAUGUCCAGACGCCACGUCGCGCCCUCCUGGCCCCCAACCUGGGCCUGUGCCGGAGGUCUGCCGUGCCCCUCACAGCGCCGCCCAUGCCCCCAUCAUAGAAGCCCAGGUCCUCACGGCCUGCGUGGGGCCGAUGUCAGGACAGAACUGCCGAGGGGGACGAUGGGAGAAGCAGUGAGUCCGGGGCCAGGGGUCGCCCGUCCCACUGGAAGGACUCGAGUGUGGACCAAGGACAGGGAGCCCCGCUGGGCACCUGGUGAGCGCCGGGUCACCUUGUGCACCCCUCACCGGGUGGCCCCCUCAAAGCCCACAUCA
rnacentral:sRNA from 1 species